UUAGGAAUCUUCCCCAAUGGGCGAAAGCCUGAGGGAGCGAUACCGCUUGAACGACGAAGCCCUUCGGGGUGUAAAGUUCUGAACUGGGGACGAUAAUGACGGUACCCAGGUAAUAGCACCGGCUAACUCCGUGCCAGCAGCCGCGGUAAUACGGAGGGUGCGAGCGUUACCCGGAUUUACUGGGUGUAAAGGGCGUGUAGGCGGUUUCUCAAGUCCGAUGCUAAAGACCAGGGCUCAACCCUGGGAGUGCGUUGGAUACUGUGAGACUAGACGGUCGGAGAGGGUAGCGGAAUUCUCGGAGUAGCGGUGAAAUGCGCAGAUACCGAGAGGAACGCCAAUAGCGAAAGCAGCUACCUGGACGAUUUGUGACGCUGAGGCGCGAAAGCGUGGGGAGCAAACCGG
rnacentral:rRNA from 1 species